rnacentral:rRNA from 1 species
UACGGAGGGAGCUAGCGUUGUUCGGAAUUACUGGGCGUAAAGCGCACGUAGGCGGCGAUUCAAGUCAGAGGUGAAAGCCCGGGGCUCAACCCCGGAACUGCCUUUGAAACUAGAUUGCUAGAAUCCUGGAGAGGCGAGUGGAAUUCCGAGUGUAGAGGUGAAAUUCGUAGAUAUUCGGAAGAACACCAGUGGCGAAGGCGACUCGCUGGACAGGUAAUGACGCUGAGGUGCGAAAGCGUGGGGAGCAAACAGG